UACGGAGGGUGCAAGCGUUAUCCGGAUUCACUGGGUUUAAAGGGUGCGUAGGUGGGCAGUUAAGUCAGUGGUGAAAUCUCCGGGCUCAACCCGGAAACUGCCAUUGAUACUAUCUGUCUUGAAUAUCGUGGAGGUAAGCGGAAUAUGUCAUGUAGCGGUGAAAUGCUUAGAUAUGACAUAGGACACCAAUUGCGAAGGCAGCUUACUACCCGAAUAUUGACACUGAGGCACGAAAGCGUGGGGAUCAAACAGG
rnacentral:rRNA from 1 species